GACGAACGCUGGCGGCGUGCUUAACACAUGCAAGUCGAACGGAGUGGCGAACGGGUGAGUAACACGUGGGUGACCUGCCCUGCACUUCGGGAUAAGCCUGGGAAACUGGGUCUAAUACCGGAUAGUGUGGGAUGGGCACGCGGCAUAUCAGCUUGUUGGGGGGGUAAUGGCCUACCAAGGCGGAGACGGGUAGCCGGCCUGAGAGGGUGGACGGCAACAGUGGGUCGGGGAUGCGACACGGACUACUACGGGAGGCAGGAGUGGGGAGGAGUGCACAAUGGGCGGAAGCCUGAUGCGGCGACGCGGCGUGGGGGAAGACGGCCUUCGUGUUGUAACCUCCUUUCACCAUCUACGCGGUAGAUGGAGAAGAAGCACCGGCUAACUACGUGCCAGCAGCCGCGGUAAUUC
rnacentral:rRNA from 1 species